GGUCCCGUGGUGCAAUGGUUAGCACUCUGGACUCUGAAUCCAGCGAUCCGAGUUCGAAUCUCUGUGGGACCU
rnacentral:tRNA from 2 species